GAUGAAGAACGCAGCGAAAUGCGAUAAGUAGUGUGAAUUGCAGAAUUCAGUGAAUCAUCGAAUCUUUGAACGCACAUUGCGCCCUUUGGUAUUCCAAAGGGCAUGCCUGUUCGAGCGUCAUUUGUACCCUCAAGCUUUGCUUGGUGUUGGGCGUCUUGUCUCUAGCUUUGCUGGAGACUCGCCUUAAAGUAAUUGGCAGCCGGCCUACUGGUUUCGGAGCGCAGCACAAGUCGCACUCUCUAUCAGCAAAGGUCUAGCAUACAUUAAGCCUUUUUUUCAACUUUUGACCUCGGAUCAGGUAGGGAUACCCGCUGAACUUAAGCAUAUCAAUAAGCGGAGGA
rnacentral:misc_RNA from 1 species